UACAGAGGGUGCAAGCGUUGUUCGGAAUUAUUGGGCGUAAAGCGCGUGUAGGCGGCUUUGCAAGUCGGGUGUGAAAGCCCUCAGCUCAACUGAGGAAGUGCGCCCGAAACUGCAGAGCUUGAGUGGCGGAGAGGGUGGCGGAAUUCCCCAAGUAGAGGUGAAAUUCGUAGAUAUGGGGAGGAACACCGGUGGCGAAGGCGGCAUCCUGGACCGGCAUUGACGCUGAGGAGCGAAAGCCAGGGGAGCAAACGGG
rnacentral:rRNA from 1 species